rnacentral:rRNA from 1 species
AUUGAACGCUGGCGGCAGGCCUAACACAUGCAAGUCGAAUGGUAACAGGAAACAGCUUGCUGUUUCGCUGACGAGUGGCGGACGGGUGAGUAAUGUCUGGGAAACUGCCUGUUGGAGGGGGAUAACUACUGGAAACGGUAGCUAAUACCGCAUAACGUCGCAAGACCAAAGAGGGGGACCUUCGGGCCUCUUGCCAUCAGAUGUGCCCAGAUGGGAUUAGCUAGUAGGUGGGGUAACGGCUCACCUAGGCGACGAUCCCUAGCUGGUCUGAGAGGAUGACCAGCCACACUGGAACUGAGACACGGUCCAGACUCCUACGGGAGGCAGCAGUGGGGAAUAUUGCACAAUGGGCGCAAGCCUGAUGCAGCCAUGCCGCGUGUAUGAAGAAGGCCUUCGGGUUGUAAAGUACUUUCAGCGGGGAGGAAGGGGGUAAAGUUAAUACCUUUGCUCAUUGACGUUACCCGCAGAAGAAGCACCGGCUAACUCCGUG